GCACAAGCGGUGGAGUAUGUGGUUUAAUUCGACGCAACGCGAAGAACCUUACCAGGGCUUGACAUCCCCUGACCGCGUAUGAAGUACGUUUUCACCCUCGGGUGACAGGGAGACAGGUGCUGCAUGGCUGUCGUCAGCUCGUGUCGUGAGAUGUUGGGUUAAGUCCCGCAACGAGCGCAACCCUUGUCUUUAAUUGCCAGCAUUCAGUUGGGCACUUUAAAGAGACUGCCGGUGUUAAGCCGGAGGAAGGUGGGAUGACGUCAAGUCCUCAUGGCCUUUAUGCCCAGGGCUACACACGUGCUACAAUGGGUGGUACAAAGAGAUGCCAACUCGCGAGAGCGCGCCAAUCUCAGAAAGCCAUCCUCAGUUCGGAUUGGAGUCUGCAACUCGACUCCAUGAAGUUGGAAUCGCUAGUAAUCGUGGAUCAGAAUGUCACGGUGAAUACGUUCCCGGGUCUU
rnacentral:rRNA from 1 species